AUUCUUAUAGCUUAUAUAGAGUAGAUUAGUGAAGUUAAUCAGGAAAUUAAUAUUUAAGAAUA
rnacentral:tRNA from 1 species